UACGAGUGCUCCAAGCGUUAUCCGGAAUUAUUGGGCGUAAAGGGUGUGUAGGUGGUCGUGUGAGUCGUCUGGGAAAUUCUUCGGCUCAACCGGGGUCCUGCGGAGGAAACGGCACGACUAGGGGGUGCGAGAGGCAUGCGGAACUCAUGGUGUAGGGGUGAAAUCCGUUGAUAUCAUGGGGAACACCGAAAGCGAAGGCAGCAUGCUGGCGCAUUCCUGACACUGAAACACGAAAGCGUAGGUAGCGAAUGGG
rnacentral:rRNA from 1 species